CGGCCGCGCCCCACAGCCUGCCCGCCCCGCAGCCGGAGCCGGCGCGCCUUCUCUCCAGUCCCCGGGCCGGGCUCCCCGCCCACAGCGCCCCCCGGGGCCGGGGUGCGGGGGUCUCAGGCGCGCCCUCUCCCGCGUCUCCCAGCCACGUCUGCUGCCCGGGAUGCGGAGGAGGAGUGGGGGCGGCCUCCGCAGUCCUGCCGCUUCCUCAGCCGGGCCGUCCCUAAGGCGGCCCUCGGGCCCUCGGCUGCCGGGGAGCGCCCUUCCUGGGCCAGGGAAAUUUGGAUGAAACCUACGUAAAAGUACACUGUGGGCGCUCGCCUAUUUGUUUUCUUCCAAGACAGGGAUAAAACCAGAGAGAAGACCCACGUUGCAGGGCUCUUGAAACAGUGCUCUCUCUGAUGUACCCCAAAGCUGUUUUGUUUCUCUCUGGCAUCUCCGAGCCCCCCUCCUCAUACGCGCAGUGCGUGCUGAGGAAUCUCUGGUGUCGGCAACACAGAGGGAGAUACGAGAUCUGCCUUCAGGAGUAGUCUCUCAUGGAGCAGCAGAGGCUGCUGUUGAAAAUGUUACACCACAAGGAAGAAGGUGGUCAAUUCUGCCGGAGAGGCGCCGACCUCUAGAAAUUCAGAGGGCUCACAGGGAUUGAACUCAGGACCUUGUGCUUGCCAGGCAGAUGCCGUGCCACUGAGCUACAUCCCCGGCCCUAAUUCAUUGUUUUUAAUCAAAUAGUUAUUGGUCACUCCCAAUCGUGUGUUAGAUACUGUGGAAAGUUCUUAAGAGAUGGGAGGUACAUGAAAAUCAUAAUAAAUGUGUAUGACUACAGGGGCACCUAAAAGAGCAAAGGAGAGAUUCGUGAAGAAAAACCACUCAAGAUCAGCUAUGUAAACCAGGUGUGGUGGCAUAUGCCUAUUAUCCCAGCACUUGGGAGGCUGAGGCAGGAGGAUGCAUCGAGCUUGAGCCAGUCUGGGCUACAUAGUGUGUUCAAGGCCAGCCUGGACCACAUAGGGAGAGCCUCUCAAAAAAAAAAAAAAA